GCUGCUGAAGCUCUGAUAGUGGAGCGGCGGAAUUGUCACUCCGUAGGAGAGGGUGCAAGUCCCUCCAGCAGCU
rnacentral:tRNA from 1 species